UGUUUAUAAGGGCUUACGAGGAAACAGGAAAAGCACCAAGAAGUAGAGCUGUUGUAGGUUACUACACAAGCAAGGUGCAGGAGAGCUGAGACCUCCACAGAGCUGGAUAUUUGCAAAAUCUGGUUCUAUCAGAAGAUACAGCACACAAUUUAAAAGCACAGUAAGAAUUUCUUCGUAUGUGUAGCAGUGAGAGAAAUGUAACCGCUUUUGAAAACAAGUCCAAACAUUAUUUUUGUGUAGUGAGAAGUACAUCAAUAAGUAACUUGCCUGUGAAAUGAUUGCGUGUGUUUCAUGUGCUGCUUAUUUUGGCCAAAUAUACAUGUAGGAUCUAAGGCUUUUAGCUUUAGCCAGAACAUAAAGAAGUAAAUUCAGUCUUAAUUUACCAAUGUUGCAUAUAUAUUUUGACAUGAGAGAUGUGGCAAGCAGAGUAGGAGAGGUGCCUUUUGUUACUGGGCCUUGGAGACCUUAGGUAAGAGGUAGCGUGUUC